rnacentral:rRNA from 1 species
UACGUAGGGUCCGAGCGUUGUCCGGAGUUACUGGGCGUAAAGCGCGCGCAGGCGGCGGUGCUGGCCCGGCGUGAAAGCCCCCGGCUCAACCGGGGAGGUCGUCGGGGACCGCACCGCUUGAGGGCGGUAGGGGCUGGUGGAAUGCCUGGUGUAGUGGUGAAAUGCGUAGAGAUCAGGCGGAACACCCGUGGCGAAGGCGGCCAGCUGGGCCGUCCCUGACGCUGAGGCGCGAAGGCGUGGGGAGCGAACGGGG